GAUGAACGCUGGCGGCGUGCCUAAUACAUGCAAGUCGAGCGAACGGACGAGAAGCUUGCUUUUCUGAUGUUAGCGGCGGACGGGUGAGUAACACGUGGAUAACCUACCUAUAAGACUGGGAUAACUUCGGGAAACCGGAGCUAAUACCGGAUAAUAUUUUGAACCGCAUGGUUCAAAAGUGAAAGACGGUCUUGCUGUCACUUAUAGAUGGAUCCGCGCUGCAUUAGCUAGUUGUUAGGGUAACGGCUUACCAAGGCAACGAUGCAUAGCCGACCUGAGAGGGUGAUCGGCCACACUGGAACUGAGACACGGUCCAGACUCCUACGGGAGGCAGCAGUAGGGAAUCUUCCGCAAUGGGCGAAAGCCUGACGGAGCCACGCCGCGUGAGUGAUGAAGGUCUUCGGAUUGUAAAACUCUUUUAUUAGGGAAGAACAUAUGUGUAAGUAUCUCUGCACAUCUUGACGGUACCUAAUCAGAAAGCCACGGCUAACUACGUG
rnacentral:rRNA from 1 species